GAUUUUUUGGCUGACUGGGAAGCAAAUGUUUUGAAAGCAUCAAAUGAGUGUUCAAAUCACUCAAAAAUCU